CCCGAGUAAUUUUUGUAUUUUUAGUAGAGACAGGGUUUCACCAUGUUGCCCAGGCUGAUCUCAAACUUCUGGACUCAGGCGAUCCACCUGCCUCGGCCUCACAAAGUGCUGGGAUUACAGGUGUGAGCCACUGUGCCCGGCCACGAAUGUUAUUUUUAAAGCACACACACAUUCCUGGUGGAAAGCAAGUAUCCUCAGCACCCAUUUCCUGAAACGUCUUUUAAUCAUCGCAAUAUGGAGAUUGUAUUAUUAUCACUAUUUUAAAGACAGGGCAGUAUUUUCCUGGGGCAGUAUUUCCCAAAUUGUGUUCCAUGAAAUGCUAAUAACAGUACUAAGAAGUAAGUGGUGUUCACUUUUGAAAAUGUUCCUGUAGCCAAAUAUGUUUGAGAAAUACUGCACAGGAAUGGUACAUUCGUAUGGACCUAGGAGUCAGAGACCUGGGUUUGGGGCCAAGCCCCACUGAUUAUCAGCUAUGUGGGUGCAGCAGUAAUAAUCCUAGCUUCCUUAUCUGGGAUGUAGGAAUAAUGAAAUACCUGCUUUGUAAGGUUGGUGUGAGGGUUGAUGUUAUGAGGUAACAAAUAUAACGCUCUUAGCACACAGCUGGUACAAAGAAAGUCUUCAGUAAAUGGGAACUCCUAUUGGCAUUGUAGCAGGCUAAAUAUUGUUAGCAUCUCACAGCUAGACCUAUAACUUUUUUAGGGAGAGAUCAAUUUUGUUUAGGAAAACUUCUUAAUAAACCACUUGGAAGCAUGGCCAGCAAUGAGACUCUGAAGUUACAAGCCAUUAACAACCAAGACCAAAACCUGGCAAACCAAGUUUGAAAAAGCCAGAGUCCCAUAGAGGAUGAGUAUUGAUUUCUCUCCUUGCCUGACAUUAUAACAAAGAGGUUCAGGGCACAAAGAUGAGAUCUCACCUCCGUCUUCACCUCCCUCUUUUUAGUACUACUCCAUCCUUUACAGAUUCACCUACACACACUCACACAUGCACACACACCACUCCCUUUUCAGGAAGAAAGUUACAGGCUGCAGUUAAUUAGACAUUCUAUGAUUUGAGCUUUAUUACUUCCUCUUUACUCUCUGAACUUUAAAGGAACACAUUUCUGUAAAGUUUAAAUUAUUUCAAUUAGGUGUAUUACCUUUCUAACUGGGGGUGGGGGGGAGCACUUUUUAUUUUUUAAUGUUGAAGACUCCACUCAGUCAUCUGAGCUCCAGGAAGCCUUCCCUGGCCACCCAUAAGUUAAGAGCCCCUCUUCCAAGCUCGCAGAGCACCCGCUUCACACCUAUGCUACAGAACACACCGCCAAGGAUGGAAAUUAUCCAAGGGUUUGUGUCCAUUGCCAUGCCAGGCAUCCAGCUCUGCUCAAGCACGCAGGGGCCCUGACUUCCUCAUCUAGGUAUUCUCAACACCUCCACCAGCAGCUGACUUCCUCAUCUAGGUAUUCUCAACACCUCCACCAGCAGCUGGUAGGCAGCAGAGCUACUGUUACUGAGCUGCCCAUGGCACCAAUGGAUCUAUGAAUGAAUCUGAACGUCCUCCCUGGGGAAAAGCACUUGCUUGUUGAGGGAGGAACGGGGGUCUGAAAUGCUAAUCCCUGCCCUAUAGUAUGGGUGUGCAUAUGGUGCACCUUCCAAAGCCCAGAGUGGCAUUCUUAUUACAUCCCGGAAACCCCCAUGUCAGGGGCUUUUGGGGUGACAUCCAAUAUGUAAAUACCAGGGUCAGGUCCUGCUGAGUGGCACAGCAGUGCCAUAUGUGAAAGUUCCACCAGCAGCGGAGGGCUCUUUCAUUAGUCAUUUCACUGCACACAGCUGUAAGGAAUCUGGCAAAGCUUGAUUUGGCUGGGAGGAGUGCAUUUUCCACUUGUAGGCGUCUUGAAAACUUUCAUACUAAAAAAAAAAAAAAAAAAAA